rnacentral:tRNA from 2 species
GCUCUAGUGGUGUAGUGGUUAUCACGCGUGCUUCACACGCACGAGGCCCUCGGUUCGAUCCCGAGCUGGAGCA